rnacentral:rRNA from 1 species
CAUCGGAACGUAUCCUUUUGUGGGGGAUAGCCCGGCGAAAGCCGGAUUAAUACCGCAUAAGCUCUGAGGAGGAAAGUGGGGGACCUUCGGGCCUCACGCUGAAGGAGCGGCCGAUGUCAGAUUAGCUAGUUGGUGGGGUAAAGGCCUACCAAGGCGACGAUCUGUAGCUGGUCUGAGAGGAUGAUCAGCCACACUGGAACUGAGACACGGUCCAGACUCCUACGGGAGGCAGCAGUGGGGAAUUUUGGACAAUGGGGGCAACCCUGAUCCAGCCAUGCCGCGUGCGGGAAGAAGGCCCUCGGGUUGUAAACCGCUUUCAGAUGGAAAGAAAUGGUGUAGGUUAAUAACCUGCAUUGAUGACGGUACCAUCAGAAGAAGCACCGGCUAACUACGUGCCAGCAGCCGCGGUAAUACGUAGGGUGCGAGCGUUAAUCGGAAUUACUGGGCGUAAAGCGUGCGCAGGCGGUUCUUUAAGACAGGUGUGAAAUCCCCGGGCUUAACCUGGGAAUUGCGCUUGUGACUGGAGGGCUAGAGUGUGGCAGAGGGG